rnacentral:rRNA from 1 species
UACGGGAGGCAGCAGUGGGGAAUAUUGCACAAUGGGCGCAAGCCUGAUGCAGCCAUGCCGCGUGUAUGAAGAAGGCCUUCGGGUUGUAAAGUACUUUCAGCGGGGAGGAAGGCGAUGCGGUUAAUAACCGCGUCGAUUGACGUUACCCGCAGAAGAAGCACCGGCUAACUCCGUGCCAGCAGCCGCGGUAAUACGGAGGGUGCAAGCGUUAAUCGGAAUUACUGGGCGUAAAGCGCACGCAGGCGGUCUGUUAAGUCAGAUGUGAAAUCCCCGGGCUUAACCUGGGAACUGCAUUUUGAAACUGGCAGGCUUGAGUCUUGUAGAGGGGGUAGAAUUCCAGGUGUAGCGGUGAAAUGCGUAGAGAUCUGGAGGAAUACCGGUGGCGAAGGCGGCCCCUGGGACAAGACUGACGCUCAGGUGCGAAAGCGUGGGGAGCAAACAGGGAUUAGGAUACC